UACGAAGGGGGCUAGCGUUGCUCGGAAUCACUGGGCGUAAAGGGUGCGUAGGCGGGUCUUUAAGUCAGGGGUGAAAUCCUGGAGCUCAACUCCAGAACUGCCUUUGAUACUGAAGAUCUUGAGUUCGGGAGAGGUGAGUGGAACUGCGAGUGUAGAGGUGAAAAUUCGUAGAUAUUCGCAAGAACACCAGUGGCGAAGGCGGCUCACUGGCCCGAUACUGACGCUGAGGCACGAAAGCGUGGGGAAGCAACAGGG
rnacentral:rRNA from 1 species